rnacentral:rRNA from 1 species
GAUGAACGCUGGCGGCGUGCCUAAUACAUGCAAGUCGAGCGAACGGACGAGAAGCUUGCUUUUCUGAUGUUAGCGGCGGACGGGUGAGUAACACGUGGAUAACCUACCUAUAAGACUGGGAUAACUUCGGGAAACCGGAGCUAAUACCGGAUAAUAUUUUGAACCGCAUGGUUCAAAAGUGAAAGACGGUCUUGCUGUCACUUAUCGAUGGAUCCGCGCUGCAUUAGCUAGUUGGUAAGGUAACGGCUUACCAAGGCAACGAUGCAUAGCCGACCUGAGAGGGUGAUCGGCCACACUGGAACUGAGACACGGUCCAGACUCCUACGGGAGGCAGCAGUAGGGAAUCUUCCGCAAUGGGCGAAAGCAUGACGGAGCAACGCCGCGUGAGUGAUGAAGGUCUUCGGAUCGUAAAACUCUGUUAUUAGGGAAGAACAUAUGUGUAAGUAACUGUGCACAUCUUGACGGUACCUAAUCAGAAAGCCACGGCUAACUACGUG